rfam:Aspergillus brasiliensis CBS 101740 unplaced genomic scaffold ASPBRscaffold_20, whole genome shotgun sequence.
GCCCUUGUAGCUCAGUGGUAGAGCGCUUCACUCGUAUACCAAUACUGUCAUGAAGAGGUCCGCGGUUCAAUCCCGCGUGGGGGCA